GACGUAGGGGGCGAGCGUUGUCCGGAAUUAUUGGGCGUAAAGGGUGCGUAGGCGGCGCGGUAAGUCGGGUGUGAAAUCUCGGGGCUUAACUCCGAAACUGCAUUCGAUACUGCCGUGCUUGAGGACUGGAGAGGAGACUGGAAUUUACGGUGUAGCGGUGAAAUGCGUAGAUAUCGUAAGGAAGACCAGUGGCGAAGGCGGGUCUCUGGACAGUUCCUGACGCUGAGGCACGAAGGUCAGGGGAGCAAACGGG
rnacentral:rRNA from 1 species